CAAAGCUCUUCGAAGGUAUAGUUAUCACAAAGUUAAUGGAUAAAUAGAUCACGUCUAUUAUCUUCUUAUUUUCUUUUUUUUGUCUUCAUUCUCUUUCAAGCUUAACUAUUAAACAGCUUGCUUUUGGUGCAAACAUCUCAAUGCUUAAAAAGUUUUGGUUCCAAGGUAUGACUUUUUUGCUUUAUAAUUCAAGAGCCUACUGAUAAUGCAUCAAUUGACUUCCUUGAUGUAGGUGUGAUACAUUAACAAAUGAUGUUGACACAAGAACCCUUAUUGAACCAUUUGAUUUUAAAUGAUGCAGUUGGUAGAGAAGUCCUUGUUAAGCAGAUUGCAGUAAUGCCUCUACCAGUGUGUUUUAUGCAACUGUUCAACCAUCUUAAGAAGUGUGGUAGGCAAAGGUAAGUUCGAUUUACAUAUUCAAUGUUAUUCUUAUAUAUAUUUAUGCAACUGUUCAACUAUCUUAAAAAGUGUGGUAGGCAAAAAAAUCCCCAAAAGGUAAGUUUGAUUUACAUAUUCAAUGUUAUUCUUAUAUGUAUUUUUUCUCAUAGAAGCAAUUAUCAUCAUCUCUAUAAUCAUUACCAUCAUCCUUGUUGUCAUUGUUGACAUUGAAGCUGUCUUUUUUCAUUUUCUUCAUUCAUUUUCUGAAUUACAUCAUUCGAAUGAUAGGUUUGGAAACUCUUAAUUAGUUGUGAUUGCAAAAAUUGGAGCAAGCACAAGUUCCUUAGUUGUGAUUUGGGUCUUGUACCACAAAUAACUUCCUAUGAGUUAAAUCGCCAAGAAAUCAGUGUCAUUUUAUAUCUAAACAGGAGAUGAGUUGUAUAACAAUAGUUGUUGGCAAUUGUUCUAUGGUUGAUCAUCAUCAUAUUUCAUUAGGAAAUAUUGCAUGUUGAUUCUGAUCUUAUCUCAUAUGUAAUAUAUAAUUGUAGGUAAAAAAAAAUGGCAUAGUGAUUGAAUCCAUUUGAGCUGCACUAGACUCUAAAGCUGCUGGAUUGGGUAUGAUAGUCAGCCACCGGAGUGGUGAAUUAGAAGAUAAGUGCAUAGCUGAUCUUUCUGUUGACUUGGUUAAGUGGACAGGUUCUAUCAAAUGAUCUUUCUGCUGAUCUUUAUGUGUUCUGCAUUUUUUGUUGUUGCUUGAAAAAAAAAAAAAACCAUUGUAAGUCAUGUCAUGUAGACCAAAAUGACCAAAAUGGUGCCCAGUUUGCCGAGUAUAAUCAAGUAUAAAUGGAAUAUUCUCUCUUUGAUGCCUAUAUUGCCUAACAUGUGGAUUUUUUUUUUUUUUUUUUACAUUAUAGGAUAAAAUAUACAUAUUUCAAGGACCUUUUUUGGUGAUAGCCAAUUUAGUAGGUAGGUUAGUUUGAUGUUGCUGUAUGCAUUUGGAAAGUGACAUACUUUAAUCAUCAGUCUUAGUAUGUCUAGAUGAUUCAGUCAAGCUAUUUAGAGCCCUAAUCCAGAAGUUGACUUGAUUUGGCAUUCCUAAACAUCCUAUUUAGUUUAGUUAUUUGAGUGACUAAGAUUAUUUGAUUGAACAGUGUCUAGCUUGAGAUUGCAAUUCUCACUAUUGCUCUCCAUUCAAUUUGCUAACAGGUUCAGUGAAGGGAACCUUGGUUCUGUUUACAAAGCAAAGUUUCCUGAUGGCCAAGUACUACUUGAAUUGAAUAUGCAUUUGCAAGCUUCUUUUAUUUCAAACAUUAUUUUUAUUAUUAUUAUUACUAUUAUUGUUUUAUGACCUAAUCUUUGGAAAACAUGCUCUUGUGCCUCUAGUGGUAUGGUUUGUGCAGAUUUUUUAAGCUUUUUGAUUAGUUCACUUCUUGAAUCUAAGAAUGACAUUUUGUUUUCUUUUUCUUUUGUUUUAAAUUGUACAAUAGGAAAGUCGGGUGCUACACCUUCGCUAUGUGCCAUGUAUAGGUGUUUACAGCUAUAAGGUGGUAUAGAGAAUGUAAAGUUUAAUAUAUAAGUUAAAUGCCUUUUGAAUUAGAA